UGGGGAAUAUUGGACAAUGGGGGGAACCCUGAUCCAGCCAUGCCGCGUGGGUGAAGAAGGCCUUAUGGUUGUAAAGCACUUUAAGCGAGGAGGAGGGUACUGGUAUUAAUACUACCAGGUACUGGACGUUACUCGCAGAAUAAGCACCGGCUAACUCUGUGCCAGCAGCCGCGGUAAUACAGAGGGUGCGAGCGUUAAUCGGAUUUACUGGGCGUAAAGCGUGCGUAGGCGGCUAAUUGAGUCGGAUGUGAAAUCCCCGAGCUUAACUUGGGAAUUGCAUUCGAUACUGGUUAGCUAGAGUGUGGGAGAGGAUGGUAGAAUUCCAGGUGUAGCGGUGAAAUGCGUAGAGAUCUGGAGGAAUACCGAUGGCGAAGGCAGCCAUCUGGCCUAACACUGACGCUGAGGUACGAAAGCAUGGGGAGCAAACAGG
rnacentral:rRNA from 1 species